UACAGAGGGUGCAAGCGUUAAUCGGAAUUACUGGGCGUAAAGCGUGUGUAGGCGGAUAUUUAAGUCGGAUGUGAAAUCCCCGGGCUCAACCUGGGAACUGCAUUCGAUACUGGAUGUCUAGAGUAUGGUAGAGGAAAGUGGAACUCCCGGUGUAGCGGUGAAAUGCGUAGAUAUCGGGAAGAACACCAGUGGCGAAGGCGGCUUUCUGGACCAAUACUGAACG
rnacentral:rRNA from 1 species